UUAAUUUAUUGAAACAAAAUAUCCACAGUAUAUUAAAUAUCUACAAAAAUAUGUAGAAAGAAAAAAAAAACCGUAGAACGCUAAAAACAAAAAAACGAUUUGCAAAUAACAAUCAUAUAUUUAAUCCUAUUUUAUACUGUUAUCAUUUGUUAUGUGUGUGGGUGCUUAUCGAAGUGGUUUUGUCUUUUAUGUGUUGUGUUUGUUCCUCUUGUCUUGCAUCCCCGUUGGGCAUGUGGGAGCGCAGUGUGUGUACAUUGUUCAUUCAUUCAAUCUAGUUGCCGAAUAUAGAGAUAAAGUUACGCUUCACGUGGUCUGGGCAAAUUGCAUUCACUUUCUCCACUUCAGACCCUAUCGUUCCUAUUGGUCCGUCCAUUCCCUAUCUGUACAUACCAUAUUAUUAAUUAAUCCAUCACCACAAGCACAGCACCAAACAGAUUAGAGAAUUUCAUAUGAAUACCAUUAUCUGCAUAGCAAUAACACUAACUUUUUCAAUUUGUCACACAAAUAGAUGAAAGGGAAUGUGAGUACAGAUUGGAUUUUUUUUUUUUUUUUUAAAAAAAAAAAGAAAAGCUUUAUCUGUUUAUUGAUGUGUGAUGAAAGUCAAGAUAGCAAUGAGAAAAGUGGGUGGGAAAUGCUGAUGAUUGGAUUUGCACAUGAUGUAAAUUUCAUUUUUGGGUUUCAUGUGGGCACCGGUUUUUGUUUAUACAAGCGGGACAUUCCGUAAUAAUUGGAACUUGGAUCUAAAUUGUGUAUGCAACUGGAUUUAUUUAUGAUAUCGA